GUCAGAAAUUCAGGAUGGAGAUGGGACCAGUGAGCCAGGAUCGAGUGGAGACUGUGGAGAGCCUCCGGUUCCGGUGAAGCCACACACGAAGACGCAGGAUGAAGAUGGCGCACCUGCUGAGAUGUUGCGACUGUUGCAUGAAGAGCUCGUAAUCAAGCCGGAGCUCGCGGACGAUGAUGAUGAUGAUGACACAAGUGAUGAGAUGUCAC